rnacentral:rRNA from 1 species
GCCAGCCCGCUCAGAAACUUAAAUGAAUUGACGGGGCCCGCACAAGCGGAGGAGCAUGUGGUUUAAUUCGAUGAUACGCGAGGAACCUUACCUGGGCUCGAACGUAAGAUGACUGUAGGUGAAAGCUUACAUCUCUUCGGAGCAUUUUACGAGGUGCUGCAUGGUUGUCGUCAGCUCGUGCCGUGAGGUGUCGGGUUAAGUCCCAUAACGAGCGCAACCCCUACCUUUAGUUGCCAUCAGGUUAAGCUGGGGACUCUAAAGGAACUGCCUACGCAAGUAGUGAGGAAGGCGGGGAUGACGUCAAAUCAGCACGGCCCUUACGUCCAGGGCUACACACGUGCUACAAUGGCCGAUACAGAGGGCAGCUACCUGGUGACAGGAUGCAAAUCUCCAAAGUCGGUCUCAGUUCGGAUCGGAGUCUGCAACCCGACUCCGUGAAGUUGGAUUCGCUAGUAAUCGCGCAUCAGCCAUGGCGCGGUGAAUACGUUCCCGGGCCUU